rnacentral:rRNA from 1 species
GACGAACGCUUGCGGCGUGCCUAAGAAAUGCAAGUCGAGCGGGGAGACAGCAAUGUCUUCUAGCGGCGAACGGUCGCGUAACACGUAAGCAACCUGCCUCAAAGACCGGGACAACAGCCCGAAAGGGCUGCUAAUACCGGAUGUGGCCAUCUUUUCGCAUGGAGAGAUGAUUAAAUCGAGCAAUCGGCUUUGAGAGGGGCUUGCGGCCUAUCAGCUAGANGGUGGGGUAACGGCCUACCAUGGCGACGACGGGUAGCUGGUCUGAGAGGACGGCCAGCCGGACUGGGACUGAGAUACGGCCCAGACUCCGUACGGGGGCGA